rnacentral:lncRNA from 1 species
UGUAUAACAUAUUUUUAGACAUGUCUUUUAAAAAUUUAAUUUUAUAUUUAUAAUUUCACAACCAUAAGUUGAUCAAGGUUUGAAAGAUGAAAAUUGAUUAGUCGAAUUUGAAUUGAUUUUACUGAUUAGGCUGAUAAUUUUUAAAUUUUUCACAGGUUGAUGGUGCUAGUUAAGAAUGUGGCACUUGCGGUGGAAAUAUUCUUUAUUUUCUAAUAAAAAUAAAAAUUUUGGGGAAAGCGGUUGAUUCUUUGAAUUUGUUGUUACAACCACUCUGUCAUCUUAUCUACACUCAACUUAUAAUGUUUGGAGAAAUUAAAUUGAUUGAGGAAUGAGACUGAACUUACUUCAGCAUGCCAUGCAUUAGAUAUUGGAUUAUAUGUUGAAUGCUGCGGAAUCUAACAUUAUCCUUCUAUAUAUCUCUUCUAGUCAAAAUGGGUCAUAACUCAUUUGAGUUUUUGUUCAAGUCAUUUUUUUAUAAUUUAGUUCAAUCUUAACAUAGUCAUAUUUUAAGAUGCAGAGCAUAAAAUGUUGACAUUUGUAUGGAUUAAACCUUCUGUUUUUGGUAACUCUUUUCCAAAAUGUGCAAAUCCUACAAUUGUUUGAAAUAUGAUCAAACUCUUUCGACCCAUCUCCCAUCCAUCUUAUCUUGUCAGAUUGGAGUAACCCACUAGUUUUUGCUUGUGAUGACCAUCUAAAUGGUAAAAUAAUCUUUAAUAUGAUGGUUUGAAGUUUAGCACCAUGUCGUGAAACAUAAUCUAGAGUUUUACAUGAAAAAUUGUAAUGAUUUAAAUUGCAAUGACAGUCCUUUAUCCAAUUUAUACCUAUGAUGCCUGUCUAACUUGAUGAUCCCGAUGGCUGAUUUGAACUUUCUUUUUGCUAACCCUUUAUUUGGAUGCAGCAAUAUAAAUCCAUUGGAAUCUAUCCCAUUUGUCUUGUCAUCCACAGGUAGUCAGUUUUGAUUUAAACUCAAAAUGUUGCAAAAUCUAUUCAACCAACCAACCCAGAUGGU